ACCCAGUCGAUGGGCAGCCGCUCGUCUACAGUAUCGGAAGACGCACCGACAGCGUCGAGGUUUGUUUUCACCUGAGACUUAACCAUCACCGCGACGAUUUCGUUCAGUAUAAUUCCUCGUUUUCACCUUCUGGACAACGUCUGUGAUAGUGACGACUUAAAGAUCCAACGCAAGACUUACGAAUCCAUACACAAUUUUAGUUGGUCAAACUCUCCUAAUGAGGCUGUAGUUGUCAUGUUAAUCCUCUCUGGAAUGAACCUUUCAUGUUGUAUAAAUUCUAACAGCGGAUCUGCAACUAGGGAGCAGUAUACGAGACAAUUGAUAUCGGGAGGAACAAGAAAAAGAGACUGAGCAAUCAUUCGCCUGGCGGCUUGGAAACUUCGAUUAAAGGAUGUAGCAAGACAGAGCUAACAGGGGAAGACUUCAACGUUUAGAGCUGAACACGAAACUUGUCGGUGCAUAGAAUGCCUUCGUAGGCCUGGACUCGGACAACUAAUUUCUUCUAGUUCAUCAUUCGGAAUGCUCGCCUUGAGGAGCAAAUGUAUUGGAAUUUUUCUUGUAUUUGGUUAACCUCUAUUCAUUCUUGCUAUUCCAACUUUAAACCUCGGCUCUUCAGUAAAAAGCACUACUGGCCAUUUCAAGACUCUUAAGAUUAGAGUGGUUUACUACAUCAGCUGCCAACGACAGACUACACCAUCCAUAGCAACUAUUUUGUCUUCUUCAACGACAGUAACGUGUCAGAGUUAUUGAGAGUGAAUGCUCUAGGUAAGCGAAAGUGAACUGGAAUACCAAUUCGUAAAUCCAGAUGUUACCAAAACUUUGAUGUUCAAGAAGAAUUCUGUAGAUGAGCUGGAAUGUGGUCCUUCGGAGUAGUUCUCCACAAGCUCUCAUGGACCUUCACUUAUAACAUCUUUAUUUGGGUAGCAGUUGGGAGAAAUUUUUGACACGUCAGGUUAUCCCUACUAUCAUACGGUGAUGGCUUAUAAUUGGGGUGCACUUUUACCCUCUUUUGUCUCCCUCUGGGAUAAAGAUGGGUAAUUAUUCCAUCAGCGCUCCGUAAUGGCUGGAGUUUAAAAGGAAAGAAAGCAGCUUUUAAGUGUUGCCUAUUCGGAAAAGACUUGCGCAUUGGGUCGAGUAAGAUUAUUGCAGUUGGAGAGGGAGUAGCUCAGAAUGAGCAGCCAGGACUGAGAACCAGUGAGAGUGGUGUCCUCGAAUGUUCCUCUGACAUGAAGAAAAAGGUGUAGAGAUCCAUAUUCAUGAUGAAGUGGUAGCAGCGCCACAGGUCGCUCAUAACUGUGAACAAGAGCCUCGCAAAAAGUUUAAGCGGUGCAGUAUUUUUCAGUGGACACUGUUGCCAGCCCCGUCGAACAUCUUUUAUGAGAUGCACAUCUGAUGCCAAAUUGUGGUUCUCGUGCAGACGCUGGCCAUCAAACUCAUCCUUUUGACUUAUCUUAAUGAAAAAAUAGCUGCGUUUCGGCCAAGUUCAAUGGUCAGGGCAGGAUGAUCACUAAUUAUUUGUACCGUGAGACAAGGUUUUUUUUCUUACUAAGUACAAGAGAAUGUUCUUUCAAGAAAUUUUUUUUGGAUGAAUUCCAUAAAUUUUUUUUGCUUUUCUCAGGAAGUGCCACUAUUUUCAGAAUUUGGUAAUAGUAUUUUUUUACUUAAUACCUGGAGUACC